rnacentral:rRNA from 1 species
GCAGCAGCCGCGGUAACACGGAGGGAGCUAGCGUUGUUCGGAAUUACUGGGCGUAAAGCGCGCGUAGGCGGUUACUCAAGUCAGAGGUGAAAGCCCGGGGCUCAACCCCGGAACUGCCUUUGAAACUAGGUAACUAGAAUCUUGGAGAGGUCAGUGGAAUUCCGAGUGUAGAGGUGAAAUUCGUAGAUAUUCGGAAGAACACCAGUGGCGAAGGCGGCUUACUGGUCCGGAACUGACGCUGAGGUGCGAAAGCGUGGGGAGCAAACAGGAUUAGAUACCCCCGUAGUCCCUGUCUCUUAUAC